rnacentral:rRNA from 1 species
UACAGAGGGUGCGAGCGUUGUUCGGAAUUACUGGGCGUAAAGCGCGCGCAGGCGGCCCUUUAAGUCUGACGGUGAAAUGCCGGGGCUCAACCCCGUGCCCGCCGCGGAUACUGGAGGGCUGGAGACACGUAGAGGCAAGCGGAAUUCCGGGUGUAGCGGUGGAAUGCGUAGAGAUCCGGAAGAACACCGGAGGCGAAGGCGGCUUGCUGGGCGUAGUCUGACGCUGAGGCGCGAAAGCGUGGGGAGCAAACAGG